GACGUAGGGCGCGAGCGUUGUCCGGAUUUAUUGGGCGUAAAGAGCUCGUAGGCGGCUUGUCGCGUCGUCCGUGAAAACUUGGGGCUCAACCCCAAGCUUGCGGUCGAUACGGGCAGGCUAGGGUUCGGUAGGGGAGACUGGAAUUCCUGGUGUAGCGGUGAAAUGCGCAGAUAUCAGGAGGAACACCGGUGGCGAAGGCGGGUCUCUGGGCCGAUACUGACGCUGAGGAGCGAAAGCGUGGGGAGCAAACAGG
rnacentral:rRNA from 1 species